UAGAUAGAUGCCCGUAGGUUUGGGCGCUUAGCUGUUAACUAAGAUUUUGUAGGAUCGAGGCCUACCUAUCUAG
rnacentral:tRNA from 3 species